UUGCAGGUUCAAUUCCUGU
rnacentral:tRNA from 1 species